rnacentral:lncRNA from 1 species
CUCAGCAGGAUCCUCUGGGCUCCCAGAGACACCGCAGCCCUGUGGGAUCCGGGGAGGGGCAAAGAGACGCCUCACCUUCCUGUAUCCCUGGUGCCACACACAGCCUGGGACACGCUAGAGAACUUUAAAGCCAUAGUCAACAGAAACCAUGCAACUCCUAGAAGAAAACACAGGGUCAGCACUCCAGCACACAGGCACAGGCAACGACUUUCUCAAAAGGACCCCUAAAGCUCAGG